rnacentral:rRNA from 1 species
AUUGAACGCUGGCGGAAUGCUUUACACAUGCAAGUCGAACGGCAGCACGGACUUCGGUCUGGUGGCGAGUGGCGAACGGGUGAGUAAUGUAUCGGAACGUGCCCAGUCGUGGGGGAUAACGUAGUGAAAAUUACGCUAAUACCGCAUACGAUCUAUGGAUGAAAGCGGGGGAUCGCAAGACCUCGCGCGAUUGGAGCGGCCGAUAUCAGAUUAGGUAGUUGGUGGGGUAAAGGCCCACCAAGCCAACGAUCUGUAGCUGGUCUGGGAGGACGACCAGCCACACUGGAACUGAGACACGGUCCAGACUCCUACGGGAGGCAGCAGUGGGGAAUUUUGGACAAUGGGCGAAAGCCUGGUCCAGCCAUUCCGCGUGCAGGAUGAAGGCCCUCGGGUUGUAAACUGCUUUUGUACAGAACGAAAAGGUUUCUACUAAUACUAGGAGCUCAUGACGGUACUGUAGGAAUAAGCACCGGCUAACUACGUGCCAGCCGCCGCGGUAA